GUGGGGAAUUUUGGACAAUGGGCGAAAGCCUGAUCCAGCCAUGCCGCGUGCAGGAUGAAGGCCUUCGGGUUAUAAACUGCUUUUGUACGGAACGAAAAGACUCCUUCUAAUAAAGGGGGUCCAUGACGGUACCGUAAGAAUAAGCACCGGCUAACUACGUGCCAGCAGCCGCGGUAAUACGUAGGGUGCAAGCGUUAAUCGGAAUUACUGGGCGGAAAGCGUGCGCAGGCGGUUAUAUAAGACAGAUGUGAAAUCCCCGGGCUCAACCUGGGAACUGCAUUUGUGACUGUAUAGCUAGAGUACGGUAGAGGGGGAUGGAAUUCCGCGUGUAGCAGUGAAAUGCGUAGGUAUGCGGAGGAACACCGAUGGCGAAGGCAAUCCCCUGGACCUGUACUGACGCUCAUGCACGAAAGCGUGGGGAGCAAACAGGAUUAGAUACCCUAGUAGUCC
rnacentral:rRNA from 1 species